ACUUCAGCCGUUGAUGGCAACUUCACAACACGCCGUGACUCUUCUCUAAUGGCCGCCUCACAAGAGGUCCUACCACCAGUAAUUUCGCAAAUUAUAAUUUUGCGGUUUUGAUUUUUAUUACACCAUGUUAUUCAUUCACCGUGGAAGUCAAUCGUGAACAAUUAUUAACGAAACAUUCGGUUCUUAAAUAUGGAAUAUCUAAGAUAAAUGAACAUGAAAUUUACAUUUUGUGUAAAACUGUGUACCGCACCGCAAAACAUUAUGUAGUUAGUGUUGUUGCUAAUUUUUUCCACAAUUUUAUGAUUAUAAUUUCAAUUUCCUA